AAAGUCGUAACAAGGUUUCCGUAGGUGAACCUGCGGAAGGAUCAUUACCAUAAUUAAAAAUCUUCAACCCAUGUGAACGAUGAAAUCAAUGUCCUGGUUUUUGGGGUGCUGGCUUUUAAUCAGCUUUCACCCCGACCACUUUGUUUAAACUACUUUUAAAUUAUCAUGGCAUUUUGUUACAAAAAGUGUAAUUAUAUUGACAACUUUUAACGGUGGAUCUCUUGGCUCGU
rnacentral:misc_RNA from 1 species